GCAGGGAUAGCUCAGUGGUAGAGAGCAUGCUUAGCAUGCACAAAAGGUCCUGGGUUCAAUCCCCAGUACCUCCA
rnacentral:tRNA from 1 species